rnacentral:tRNA from 1 species
GGUGGCGUGGCCGAGUGGCUAGGCAACGCCUGCAAAGCCGUGUACACGGGUUCGAAUCCCGUCGCCACCUC